GCUCCGGUGGCCUAGUGGUUAGAGCAUCUGCCUCGGAUGCAGGAGGUCGUGGGUUCGAUCCCCGGUUGAGUCA